GACGAACGCUGGCGGCGUGCCUAAUACACGCAAGUUGAGCGAUGAAGAUUGGUGCUUGCACCAAUUUGAAGAGCAGCGAACGGGUGAGUAACGCGUGGGGAAUCUGCCUUUGAGCGGGGGACAACAUUUGGAAACGAAUGCUAAUACCGCAUAACAACUUUAAACAUAAGUUUUAAGUUUGAAAGAUGCAAUUGCAUCACUCAAAGAUGAUCCCGCGUUGUAUUAGCUAGUUGGUGAGGUAAAGGCUCACCAAGGCGAUGAUACAUAGCCGACCUGAGAGGGUGAUCGGCCACAUUGGGACUGAGACACGGCCCAAACUCCUACGGGAGGCAGCAGUAGGGAAUCUUCGGCAAUGGACGAAAGUCUGGCCGAGCAACGCCGCGUGAGUGAAGAAGGUUUUCGGAUCGUAAAACUCUGUUGGUAGAGAAGAACGUUGGUGAGAGUGGAAAGCUCAUCAAGUGACGGUAACUACCCAGAAAGGGACGGCUAACUACGUG
rnacentral:rRNA from 1 species